UAUGGCUGCAACAUAAACCUGCUAUUUCUCUUCUGAGUUGGAAGACCCACCGCUGCCCAUGACAAGCUUGUCAACUGAUGGCUGAUGCUUCUACAGCUGGGAUCCAUCAGACUGGGAAUUUUUCUUUGUUCAUGUCUGGAGAAAGCCAGUGCAUCUGUCCUCGAUGCUGAGAGAAACCCAAUAUCCGUGGCCACAAGGAAUCAGACAUUUGGCGGUUUGAGUGGGUGGGCCAGAACCAAGGAGAUGAAGAAUGGAGGAAGGGCAUAGAGGAAGUGAGUAG